UCGGCUCAGACAUGUGUUAGGAACUGCAAAUCCCAUUAAUAUCCUAAUACUUGGUUUUGCAUUGUUCAGAGUUGUUGUUCAUGGUUUCUCUCUUUCAUUUCCUCCCUCCCUUAUUGGCUGGUGUGUAGUACCAUGAGCUGGCAGAGCAAAGUCCAGACUGCUCCGAAAGACUCAGCCACGAGCUCAAACAGGUUCUUCUGGCCUUGAUGACGCCAAGAAGAUCUACAACUACCGCCACUCAAGAGCCAGAAUAAUUUUAGAGAACUGCUUUGGGAUCCUUGCUGCAAGAUGGAGGAUCAAGAUGGAGAGGUUGCCUCAGAGAAAGCUGAAGCCAUUGUGAAGGCCUCCACAACUACCUUUGCACCACAGACACUGACAACAUAGUCAUCAACCCGGUACAUCCACCCCAUGUUUUUUGACCACUCCACACCCACUGGGGAUCUGUGUCCGGGAGAGUAGAGACAGGCGGUACAAGGGGACACCAGCUUCCUGGACCCAAAAAACAUGCCGGCAGACAGGGCAACAAGUUGCUAUAGACGUGCGCAACAACAAGGACUUCUUCCUCACACCAGCUGGUCAAAGUGUCUUUCCAGGAUGCUGCUAUCACGCAUAGCACCCUACAGAAAUGUUUGUCAUAUUGUGAGCUACACACUUGGUUUUGUUGUUUGGAAUUAGCUGUUUUUCUUAUUCACACUUUACAAAUCACAAUAAAGACUACCAUAAUGACA